GGGGGCGAAACGGCUUCGACGGGGAUAAAGAAGUGCUGGUUGCAUACCGAGUGCUCAUCGGCUCGUUAACUCGAUGGGAAACUAAAUAUAAUCGCAGACGAUUAUAACUACGCCGUAGCCGCCUAGGCGGCUGCCGUCCUGCCGUUUCACUCCUGCGGAUUCGGGCCAGGGCGUCGACUAGCGGGAUAGUUCAUGCCGAAUGCCUGUUACGGCAUGGAUGAAAUUUAGCAGGAUAGUGAUUUCAGCCUCUUGCCUGAUGGAGCCUGCAAUCGCGAAAUUAAUCGUCGGGCUAUGUAUGUAGACGCCAGUGCGGAAUGUUUCCGGACGCGGGUUCAACUCCCGCCGCCUCCACCA
rnacentral:tmRNA from 1 species